rnacentral:lncRNA from 1 species
CGGGAUCACGACCUGAGCCAAAGGCAGAUGCUCAACCACUGAGCCACCCAGGUGCCCCUGAGUUCAAUUCCUAUGUUGAAAAUAGUAAGUAAAUAAACCAAACAUGACUACUCUGCUUACUUCCAGGAAGGCCUAGAAAUCAUACAACUCCAAGUAGGACUAACUCAAAGUGGUGGGUCAGAAAAAAAUGCUUCCAAGGAGUGUGAAAGCAUGCUGGUGGCCAUGUUCAGAACGGCCAAGAAAGAAAAGAUCAGACGGUCUCAAGAGGUUUCCUCCACACAAGAUAUAAAUAGCAUCAGCAUUUUCCUCAGAAAGCAAGCUGCUUUCAAAUCUGGCAAAAGCAGGGAAUGAAAAGAGGAUGAACAUAAUGAGUCAAAUAAAUACAUUUAAUACUCCCGUCAUUUUCACAGAAGUUUACAGGCUGUUCUAAAAUACAGAAAAAUUGUUCAGGGGACUCCUAACUGUGCAUUCACUUAUUUAUGAUUGUAAGUAUUAUUGUAUGGUCCCAUUGAUGUUUCUUGUAUGUUUAAAUCUUCAUUUAAAAGAAACUAUUUUGAGGAGCACCUGUGUG